UACGUAGGGACCAAGCGUUGUUCGGAUUUACUGGGCGUAAAGGGCGCGUAGGCGGUGCGGUAAGUCUCUUGUGAAAUCUCCGGGCUCAACUCAGAGCCUGCAAGGGAAACUGCCGUGCUUGAGUAUGGGAGAGGGACGCGGAAUUCCAGGUGUAGCGGUGAAAUGCGUAGAUAUCUGGAGGAACACCGGUGGCGAAGGCGGCGUCCUGGACCAACACUGACACUGAUGAGCGAAAGCCAGGGGAGCAAACGGG
rnacentral:rRNA from 1 species